GCAGAAGGUUGGCUAGGUGGGCAGUGCUUGCAAACGUCUCGCUAAUGGCUUGCUGGAUUGGGUUUCUCUGCACUUCGGGUAUGCCUUUGUACGCAAGUAAGGGCACUUCUUCUUCUUCGCAGAUUUCUUGAGAUGAUCCGUUUGCAUUUUCGUUUUCCACUUUGAUCUGCAUUUUUCAAGAAGCUUUUUUAGCUGGCUAUUUAUUAUUCUCGAUUUUAUGAUCCGGGCUUGUUUGUGAUGAUAAAUUUUAUUUAUAGGCAAGUAAAGAAUGAUUGGGUUGUGUGGAAGGGAAGGCAAUCGAGCAAAGCUAGUUUUGCCUUGCAAGAAACAUAAACAAGCAACUUUUUUCUCGGCACGAUUUUUUGCACAUUACGAAUUUCCCUUUCCAGGUUUGUUGGUGAUGAGUUAGUACUUCAUCGUCAUCUUUAAUUUUCGGGGAUCAGAGCUUUCGAGUAACGUUUUGGUGUUCCAAUUUUUUUAUGUUUGGAAGGAUGGAGUAGAAGUUUAUUAGAUUGGGAUUUGGGACGUCACUGAAUGCAGUUAUUUUGCUGAGACGCAAAGUUUCAGCAUGGAUUUCUUGUGCUGCUUUACUCGUGUUUUUUAAGGUGACGUUUCUUUGCUCUUGUUCUGCUGCUUUUACUGUUUUUCUCCUUUUCCCUAAAUAGCAUAAUUCUUCUUUUUAUUAAGCGUUUUAUUACGUCAUCAUGACAAAGCGGGCACGAUUUAGGAUUAUAUAUGUCACACGUUUGUCUAAAUUAGAACACUAACCAUUAAAGAACCCAUAAUUAGUUUGUGGGCUUAUGGGCUUUUAUUCUUUACUUUUAAAUGGGCCUUUUAAGCCAACCCUUCCAUUAAACUUGGGCCCACU
rnacentral:lncRNA from 1 species